rnacentral:rRNA from 1 species
GACGAACCGUGCGAACGUUGUUCGGAAUCACUGGGCUUAAAGGGCGCGUAGGCGGUCAAUCAAGUCGGGGGUGAAAUCUUGCAGCUUAACUGUAAAAGUGCCUUCGAUACUGACUGACUUGAGGGAGGUAGGGGCAGGUGGAACUUCCAGUGGAGCGGUGAAAUGUGUUGAUAUUGGAAGGAACGCCGGUGGCGAAAGCGACCUGCUGGAUCUCUACUGACGCUGAGGCGCGAAAGCUAGGGGAGCAAACGGG